rnacentral:rRNA from 1 species
UACCACAGCCAUAUCACCCUGCAGCCCAAGACUGGUUACUCACUGAAGCUAAGCAGGGCUGAACCGGGUCAGUACCUGGAUGGGAGACAUGAGAAAACUAGAUUGCUGUUGGAA